CUCAGAACGAACGCUGGUGGCGUGCUUAACACAUGCAAGUCGAACGAGAAAGUUUCCUUCGGGAAAUUAGUAAAGUGGCGCAAGGGUGAGUAUCACGUGAAUAAUCUGCCCUCGAGAUCGGGAUAACAUGGUGAAAACUAUGCUAAUACCGGAUAAGACCACAUUUCAUAAGAAAUGCGGUAAAAGGAGUCUCAAUCUUCACUUGAGGAUGAGUUCGCGCAACAUUAGCUUGUUGGUGAGAUAAAAGCUCACCAAGGCUACGAUGUUUAGCCGGCCUGAGAGGGUGAACGGCCACACUGGAACUGAGACACGGUCCAGACUCCUACGGGAGGCAGCAGUGGGGAAUAUUGCGCAAUGGGCGAAAGCCUGACGCAGCAACGCCGUGUGAGCGAUGAAGGCUUUAGAGUCGUAAAGCUCUGUCAAAUGGGAAGAAUUUUGACGGUACCAUUAGAGGAAGCCCCGGCUAACUCCGUGCCAGCAGCCGCGGUAAUACGGAGGGGGCAAGCGUUGUUCGGAAUUAUUGGGCGUAAAGCGUAUGUAGGCGGCUAGGUAAGUCAGGCGUGCAAGCCCGUGGCUCAACCACGGAAUUGCGUUUGAAACUGCUUAGCUUGAGUACAGGAGAGGAAAGCGGAAUUCCCAGUGUAGCGGUGAAAUGCAUUGAUAUUGGGAAGAACAUCUGUGGCGAAGGCGGCUUUCUGGUCUGUUACUGACGCUGAGAUACGAAAGCCAGGGGAGCGAACGGGAUUAGAUACCCCGGUAGUCCUGGCUGUAAACGAUGGGCACUAGGUGCAGGAGGUAUCGAUCCCCUCUGUGCCGUAGCUAACGCGUUAAGUGCCCCGCCUGGGGAGUACGGUCGCAAGGCUGAAACU
rnacentral:rRNA from 1 species